AGGUGCAGCUUCAGUGUCAGUUUGCAAAGAUUGCCUUGAGAUUUAAAUCUGCUUUAGUGUAUUGUGAAAACCAAAAAAGUCUGGAAUAUUAAGACAACUUUUAGACUCAAUUUAUAUGACUUUAAAUAGUGCAAUGAACAGAAGACACAUCAAAUGUGCAGUGAAAACAGACCCCUUUUAGUGAUUUAAUAAGUUUCUUGUAAAGCUAUUUGCUUGUUACAACCUCAAAUACAUUCAAGUUUUGCUAUACAGUUGUCUUCUUAAUUCUGGCUAUCACUGUAUAUUUAAGUGGGAAACCCUGUAGUUCUGUUUAGUGGGACACCCUGUAGUUCAGUUUAUUGGGACACCCUGUAGAUCUAUUUACUUGGACACCCUGUAGAUCUGUUUAGUUGGACACCAUGUAGUUCUUGUUAAGUGGGACAUCCUGUAAUUCUGCUUAGGGGGACAUCCUGUAUUCUGUUUAGUGGGACAUCCUGUAGUUCUGUUUAGUGGGACACUCUGUCGUUCUGUUUAAUGGGACACGUCCUGUAGUUCUGUUUAGUGGGACACCCUGUAGUUCUGUUUAGUGGGAUACCAUGUGGAUCUGUUUAGUGGGACACCCUGUAGUUCUGUUUAGUGGGACACUCUGUAGUUCUGUUUAGUGGGACACCCUGUAGUUCUGUUUCGUGGGACACCCUGUAGAUCUGUUUAGUGGGACAACUGUAGUUCUGUUUAUGUGGGAAAUCCUGUAGAUCUGUUAAGUAGGACACUAUUUUAUUCUGUCUAGUGGGAGUGGGACACCCUGUGGUUCUGUUCAAGAAUAUUCAAAUGUUUGACAAAGCAUAAUGACUAUUGUUUUAAAUAUUAAAAUAUCUUUUUUUUCAUUACUCUCUUUGGAAUUUAAAUUUGUCUGGAAACCAACUUUCUUUUACAGUCGUCGUCGUAUA